CUGAGAACCUGUUUUUUUCCCCCAGCUCUGUCCAGCACUCUCUGACCAGGGCAAGAGGAGAUCUAGCCCUGGCCCCUGCAUUUCAGAAGGCCCUGCUUGGACCCCACCCCUCUCCAGAAGGUCUACCCAUUCUGAUCUGGCCGUCCGGGUCAUCAGGAAGCUCUGUCGUCACAUUAGGAGGUUUGUUGAGCGCUUUUCACGUGGGCCUGUGCCCGGCAACAGGAAGGUGGCUCCGUAUUUAUCAUCCCACCUGCCUCACGGUCGUCCCGGUCUGGCCUCGCCACUGCCCAGGCAGUCGCACGAUUCAGUUAACAUCUCUAGCAGCCACAUCGGUAAAAGUGAGAAUAAACAGCACAUCUCAGUGUGGACUUGCACAUCUGAAGUACUCUGUGGCCACAUGUAGCGGGUGGCUGCCAGCUGGGUGCCGUGGCUCUGGACGAGGGAGGCGGGGGUGUGGCUGAGUGACGCGCUUUGCUUCUGGCCGGCCAGCCCUGCGCUCCGGAGGAUCCAGCGCAGGACCGCGCCUGCGGCCAGGGGCUCGGCAGCAGGUGUGGUCCUGGCAGGCAGGUCUGCUGCAGAGGCUUAUCCGCCUCUGUGGACGUUUUGGGCCAGAUGAUUCCUGUCGUAGGCAGCUGUGCAUCGUUGGAUGUCUACAGCAUCCUUGGUUUCUACUCACUAGAUGCCGUUAGCAUCCGCGGAAUCAUUACAACCACAGAUGUCUCCAGACAUUGCCAAGGUGUCCCCUGGACCAAACCCCCCCGCCCCCGCUUUGAGAUCACUGUGCUAGGGUCAGACAGAGAGGAGUGGGGCAGGCCGGGCAGGUGUGGUGUUGGCUCAUGUAACCAAAGGGUGGGAAACGUAGAGAUGAGGUUGGGCCUCAAGGACAAGUGGAAUCUGUUAUGAGAAUAUUACCAGAACAUUCUCUCUUCAUUGCGUAUUGUUGCUUCUCCAUCAAGCUCAUUCUACUCUGAGGCUGGAACCAGGGCUCUAAUGGGCCCCGAGCACACAGGUCUCAGGUGCCCCACAGCAAGGGACUCUGCCUCCUUCCCAUUAGUAUUCAUUUUAAAACUCUCAGGGCAGGGCUAUGAUUGGCCCAUCCUGGGUCACACGGUCACUCCUGGGCCAGAGCCAGGCAGGAUCCCGGGACCAUGGGGUAGGAGCAGGAGGAGCUCGGGUGAAGAGGUGGAGGCUGGGAAGAUAAAGCAACAGCCAUCCCUGCGGUGGCCGCAGAAGGCCCAGGACUCGGGAGAGGGAGGAUUGUGUGGGACGCAGCGUUAGACUGACCUUCCUCCCCACAAGUGUACUAGGUGAGAUGGAGCAGGUCAGGAGCUCAAACCCCAGGGUGAGACUGGCUACAGGUCUCCUCACUAAGCCUUAAGCUUUGGAUGGCAGCAAUCUCAUUUUCUUUUCCUUUGCACUCUCCUUAGCAUGGAGCAGGGCACUGGGAAGGUAGUAGGUGCGAUGGUUAAUUUUAUAUGUCGACCUGGAGGGUGUUUUGGAUGAGAUGAACAUUAACUCAGUGAACUCUGAGUAAAGCAGACUGCACUCCGUAACGUGGGUGG